ACAGCACCUGAUGUCAGUGAGAUGUCUAUCACUGAGAUGUUACAAAGAUUCCAAUACAGCAAAAAGAGGCGUUCUUGAGAAUCCACUUCGAUUGCUGUAUCAACAUAACAUUUACUAUAACGGGAUCCAUGUCACUUAAGACAAUGUCUUGGAAAUGCUGUCAAUUUAUUGAUUCCGUAAAAGAAUAUCGGAGGGUAUCCAAUCUAUACACAUCAUAAACGGUGUAAAAAUGUUUCAUGGAAAAAACAAAAUAAAAAACAAACAAAGACAAAGACAAAUACCAACACCAUCACCACGGUGAUAACAGAUGAUGCUGAUUCAACCAAUUCUAGCCAAAUAUUUGGAAAGCUGGACUCUACAACCAAUACUAAAC